GAUCAUGGCUCAGAUUGAACGCUGGCGGCAUGCCUUACACAUGCAAGUCGAACGGCAGCAUGGAGAGCUUGCUCUCUGAUGGCGAGUGGCGAACGGGUGAGUAAUACAUCGGAACGUGUCCGUUUGUGGGGGGACAACCGUCCGAAAGGAUGGCUAAUACCGCAUAAGACCUGAGGGUGGAAAGCCGGGGACCGGCAAGGCCGGCGGCAGACGGAGCGGCCGGACGUGAUUGUAUUAG
rnacentral:rRNA from 1 species